AGGGAAAGACUAAUCAAGAAAAAACAAACAUUGUAACCCAGAUUCAGCAGAAGCCUUAUUUAUGCAUGAUUUACCUUUUUAUUGAGAGUCUAUUUAUGGAGACGGUCUGCAGCAGAGCUACGCUUUCAUGCAAGAAGGUGGUAUGUCAUGCUGUGGUUUCUUUUUGGACCAAGAUCUUCCCCUGUUCAGUAUUAGCACACAGCAUCGAGGAUUCAAGGAAAACCUCCUGCACCAGCCAUCAAAGGAGUUAUGAGAGCAGUAGCUGUGUUAUUAAUUGAAAGGAGAAGGUGCCUAUCUGCUUUUGUCUGGGCUCAGUGGUUUUCCUUUCUCAAAGAGUAAGGUAUGUGCCAAAGGAGGGCCGUGGGCUUCCAGCGCCCAGACAAAGAGGAGACAGUGGAGAGGAACUGACAGGGAAGUUACAGACAGAAGUCUGUACAGAAGUCAAGCUGCUUCAUUGCAGAAGAUAGCUUAGCUGAGGGAAAGAAUA